rnacentral:rRNA from 1 species
AGAGUUUGAUCCUGGCUCAGAACGAACGCUGGCGGCGUGGAUUAGGCAUGCAAGUCGAGCGAGAAAGGGGGGGGUAACUCCCCUGAGUAAAGCGGCAAACUGGUGAGUAACAGGUGGGUAACGUGCCCGGAAAUGGGGAAUAACUCCUGGAAACAGGGGCUAAUACCGCAUGUGGCUCAGGAGUCCCCGGACUCUGGAGUUAAAGGUUCCUUAAGCAAUUGAGGAGUCGUUUCCGGAUCGGCCCGCCCCUGAUUAGCUAGUUGGUAGGGUAAAAGCCUACCAAGGCGACGAUCAGUAGCUGGCCUGAGAGGGUGGUCAGCCACAAUGGGACUGAGAUACGGCCCAUACUCCUACGGGGGGCAGCAGUCUAGAGGCUUCCGCAAUGGGCGAAAGCCUGACGGAGCGACGCCGCGUGUGGGAUGAAGUCUUUCGGGAUGUAAACCAUUUUCGCUGGGAAAGAAGGUCUCAGUCGUGAACUGAGAAUUGACGGUACCCGGUAAAGAAGCCCCGGCUAACUCCGUGCCAGCAGCCGCGGUAAUACGGAGGGGGCGAGCGUUGUUCGGAUUUAUUGGGCGUAAAGAGCGCGUAGGCGGCUAUCUAAGUCUGGUGUGAAAUCUCCAUCGCUCAACGAGGAGCAUGCACUGGAAACUGGAUGGCUUGAGGCCGAGAGAGGUAAUCGGAAUUCCAGGUGUAGCGGUGAAAUGCGUAGAUAUCUGGAGGAACACCAGUGGCGAAAGCGGCUCUCUGGACCAUUCCUGACGCUGAGAUGCGAAAGCCAGGGGAGAGAACGGGAUUAGAAACCCCGGUAUUCCUGGCCGUAAACGAUGUCAACUAGGCGUAGGAGGUUAUAAACCCCUUCUGUGCUGUAGCAAACGCGUUAAGUUGACCGCCUGGGGACUACGGCCGCAAGGCUAAAACUCAAAGGAAUUGACGGGUCCCCGCACAAGCAGCGGAGCGUGUGGUUUAAUUCGAU